GGGAGGAAGAAGAGGAAGAAGAAGAAGUAGAAGUCAUUAUGCACAGGGAGCUUCGACCUACUGCAGCCCCAACACUGCUUACGGAUUGAUGGAAGAAAACUGCAGCUCUGCGUUCGGAGGACAGCAGCAUCUCCCGUCACCCCUGGACACCUUCCAUUGCAGAGGCUUCUAACUUCCUGAGCAGUUAUGGAGUAAAGGAAUACCAGGCCCUGUGCAGAUCUGUCGUGAGCCUGAUUAUACAGCCCUCCUGGGAACCUGUCUUCUUGCUGCUUCAUAAAGGCUGGGGCUUCUCUCUUUGUUUCCCAUGUAGAGGUGGGGGCUUUGGGGCUGGCCCCUUCUCUGUGAAUUAUUUGCAACCUUUUCCUGCUCCCCUCACCCCACCUCCACCCUCCGUACUAUGACCCUGGGAAGCUGGGAGGGGCUGGAGGGGUGGAAACUGGGAUUCUUGGCAGCUCCUCGCUCCAGUGGUAUGAUCAGGUUGGCCAAGGUAGAGUACACCAGCUAUGAGCUCUACCUCCCUGGUGGUAGGUUUGGGGCUGAUAAGAACCCUGCUUCCUGCUGCUCUGCUCCCUAGAGCACUCCAGAGGCCCACUGUGCCCCUUAAUCCUGUUCUGCGUUUUCAGAUAGCUGCCGCUUCGUGACUAAAGGCCCUGAGGCAUUUCUUUCCUAAGGGGAAGCUGACUGGCACUGUUAAUGCCUCGCACACACACACCACACUGCCACCACCCCCUGGCUACUGUGUGUAGGCUGUCUGUGAAGUAUGAUAAAAAAAAAAUCAAUCAGAACCAAAGAUAAAGAUACAGGAGCAAAGAGGUUUUACUUGGAGAAAGUAGAAACAGAGCAACCUACACGUGUUGCCAUCCCCCUCUAAGAAGAAAACCAGCCAGCACUGGUACACCACGCUCUCCUAGAGCUGACCAGACCCAUCUUGAAGAAAGAUGAUGAGAACCAGGCACUGGGACAGCCAGCCUCAAGAUCUGGACCACAGGGACAUCCGCCAAUUCUGGAUUGCAGGUCACUCCAGAGGCCAAGAAGCAGCAGCACAGGGGUGAAGUCUGUGACCAGGAGCCUGAGAUCAGGGCAGCUCCCAGCCCCAUGCCCGACAUAUGGCCAACAGACACCUGGUUUUAGUCACACCCUGUAAAACCCAGCUGAGACUGAGGGAAACCUGCCACCAGUUCCUGGAUUAGAAGAGGGAAGGCUGUGAUGUCUAUCCAGUGGUUCUCCAUAUGAGCCUCAGGGUCUCUUCUUAAAGCCUGGGCUGGCUACAAAACAAUUCCCCUGCCUCAGUCCCUGAGUGUUGGCGUUAUAGAUAUUUGCUACCAUACUUGGCCUCAGGACGGGGUCUUAUGAUAGUGUUCAAGGGGUCAGGAACCAGAAUCUGAAAGAGUCUGCGGCGUUCCUCUUCCUAUGAGCUCCCUGGAAUGAAGCAAGACCUGCCAAGGUGAAUGGCAGACAAGAGUGACCUCUGAGCUCCAGAUGCAGUGGCCAUGCUGCUUCCAGAGCUCUCUGCAGAGUGUUCAGUGGUGUCUUUCCCCUCGUCUGAUCCUCUCUCAAGCCGUUCGCUGCCCAUGUUCCCUUCUUCAGCCUGUGGCUCUCUGGCCACUUCUGCCUUCAACAAUUAGCAGCCAGACUUGGUACCACCCUGUGCAAGGCAUGCGAUGUUUGCAGUGACCGAGUCAGUGUGGCCAGUGGCACAGAGACGGUCUUGUUGUUAGAUCCUGCUACUCCCCUGGCCUCCAGCGUGGCCUCCAUUGGGAUUUGGGUUUCUUAGGGAAAGUUACCGAGUUGGAUUCUUUAUCACGAGGAUGUAGGCACUUGGUCAAAGAGAAGCAGUGCCUAGCUAAUCAGUGACUAAGGCUGGGACACAUCCUCCCUCGGUUCUGUCACCUAAACCUGGCAUCUUCAAGUUAUGUCCACAAGCAGUCAUCCGGCAGCCUCCUCUGUGGGAAGACAUUGCUUUUCUCCGUGAGUGACUGCCUGAGAGCCACCCAUGGCUGGUGUAGCGCCUCACUCCCCAACAAAGGUUUUUAUAGCAUCUGUGGGAUCCCUUGCGACUGAGCACAUCAGUCAGGCGCCGAGUGGGACAUGGAGGUGACAAGAAGGCACACCGGCACUUGGCUGAGAGGCCGCACGGCCCUUCGGGUCUCACCCUGACUAGACCGUGUCUUCGCUGUCUGGCUGUUCAAGGAUAAGCAAGGACAUUUCCUCAUGGGAGGCUCCUGCGACUUAAGGGAGCUGAGGCUCCAGACAAAACCAUCAGGGGUCUGAGGAAUCCACUGGGACUCGAUGGAUGAAUGAGCUGGCUCCUCCAACAUUUGUUUUGCAUAAAGGCCAUUAUUCAACUACACUUAAGAUGCAAGCCGUUCUUUACUCCCCCUGCUGUAGCUUUAAGACGAAUGGAAGAAAUAAUUGUUCUAACAGGCAUAUGAAUUAUGUGCUGAAACUUAAAUUUGAUUACUGCUUCAUA
rnacentral:sRNA from 1 species